rnacentral:rRNA from 1 species
UACAGAGGUCCCAAGCGUUGUUCGGAUUCAUUGGGCGUAAAGGGUGCGUAGGCGGCGCGGUAAGUCGGGUGUGAAAUCUCGGAGCUUAACUCCGAAACUGCAUUCGAUACUGCCGUGCUUGAGGACUGGAGAGGAGACUGGAAUUUACGGUGUAGCGGUGAAAUGCGUAGAUAUCGUAAGGAAGACCAGUGGCGAAGGCGGGUCUCUGGACAGUUCCUGGCACUGAGGCACGAAGGCCAGGGGAGCAAACGGG